UACAGAGGUCUCGAGCGUUGUUCGGAUUUACUGGGCGUAAAGGGCGCGUAGGCGGCGCGGCGUGUCGAGUGUGAAAUCUCCGGGCUCAACCCGGAAAGUGCGCUCGAAACUGCCGUGCUCGAGUGCGGGAGAGGGAAUCGGAAUACAGGGUGUAGCGGUGAAAUGCGUUGAUAUCCUGUAGAACACCGGAUGCGAAGGCGGAUUCCUGGAACGCAACUGACGCUGAGGCGCGAAAGUCGGGGGAGCAAAC
rnacentral:rRNA from 1 species